rnacentral:rRNA from 1 species
GACGAACGCUGGCGGCGUGCUUAACACAUGCAAGUCGAACGGAAAGGCCCCUUUGGUGGUACUCGAGUGGCGAACGGGUGAGUAACACGUGAGUAACCUGCCCUUCACUUCGGGAUAACUUCAGGAAACUGGGGCUAAUACCGGAUAGGAAUCCUUGCUGCAUGGUGGGGGUUGGAAAGCUUCGGCGGUUUUGGAUGGACUCGCGGCUUAUCAGCUUGUUGGUGGGGUAGUGGCUUACCAAGGCUUUGACGGGUAGCCGGCCUGAGAGGGCGACCGGCCACAUUGGGACUGAGAUACGGCCCAGACUCCUACGGGAGGCAGCAGUGGGGAAUAUUGCACAAUGGGCGGAAGCCUGAUGCAGCAACGCCGCGUGCGGGAUGACGGCCUUCGGGUUGUAAACCGCUUUCAGCAGGGGCGAAGCUUGUGGUGACGGUACCUGCAGAAGAAGCACCGGCUAACUACGUG